rnacentral:misc_RNA from 1 species
AAUAAUUAUCGAUUAACGGUCACUAAUCACCACACAUUAAAAUUAAUUAUAUGCUAUUUUAAGCAAAUAAAUUGGGUGGGUACUAAAAGUUUCUGGCCAUAAAUGUACUUAAUUUUAACCAAGUCCAAUUCAGUCGCUGUUUGUAUGUCUGUCUCUAUAUUUACGUCUUCAUGUCGUUCACAUUGUUCUGUUGCAUAAACACAUUAACACGCUUUUACUCGUUCUUCCUGAUUCUGUCAGUGGCAAUGUUCUUUCAUCACUAUCAUCUAUUUAACCAUUAUUAAUAAAAUGUAGCAUUUAAAAUGUCAGUUUCUUUUGAGUUACUUGAGUCUUAUGUAAAAUGAUGUUUUAUCACAAAUAAAUUAAAAUUGAUUUUUUUCAGGCAUUAAUGAUCACAGUAAUAUUGUAUAAUUUUUAUGCACGCAAUUUAUUCGGAGAUUUUUUCAUGAUGUUUGUUCAAUAUUUGGUUAUAUAUUCUUACGCGUCGACCAUGUUGAUUGGUUUUUCUUUAGUAUCAUUUGCAUCGUUUAUGGGUAGUAAUAUACAUUUGCGCGUCGGUCUGUUUCUUCUUUUAGGAGGGUUUAUUUUUUGGGUAUUCAUCGUCGUUUUAAGCUUCAUACCGGAUGGGGACUUGUUCAAGUUUGUCUGCGUGGACAACAGAUGCCCGGAGACUCAUUGGAUGUACAACACAAGGUGGAGGAACUAUGGAAUAGAAUGCCCUUUUCCCGCAGAAGAAGGUCCCUACGCCUCGGACAUACAAGUCAGGGACGACAACGGAUUUGGUGACAAUCCGUCGGAAAUAAACUUGACGGCUUUCUACGCGGGCUGUGAGAAUUACAAAACUGCGCCAGUCGUCGUUUCGGGAGUUUUGUGCGCGGGCUGGACAAUUUUCAUGCUGCUUUGUUUUCGAGUCUUCACCAAGUUCAUAGCGCAAAUACCAAAAUAAGAUGACGAAAUUCAUUAUUGCUCUCAUGAUAACUGUGAUUCUUUUCGAGAUUUUUGCCGAUGAUUUAUUCUCAAAUAUAGGUCUUUUUACAAUCCAUGUCGGUGUGGUAUUCUUAUACUGUGCAUGCAAUCUUGUCGGAUAUUUCCUAUUGUCUUUCUCAGCGUUCUUGUUGGAUGUAAAGUACUACUUUUACGGCUAUAUGACGAUAUUAGGUGGGUUUGCAUAUUGGUGUGCCGCAACGACAGUCGGAUUCAUCUCCGCUUCGGACAUUUUCAUUUUUGUUUGUGUAGACCAGCGUUGUCCAGAAUCUCACUGGUUGAUAAACAUGAGGUGGAGGAAUUACGGGAUCAAAUGUCCCAAGGAUCCAUUGGAAAAACCGAGACCGGAAGAAGCUAAAGGCGGGCCAGGGAAAUCUUUGGCAGCUUUAUAUUUCAAUUGCGAAAGGGCAGACGUAUUUUUAAUAAUAAUCUCUUCUCUUCUGGCUCUGUCGUAUUUCGUUUUUAUGUUAGUAACUCUAGUCAGAACGCACAGAUUCUACAAGAUGUUGAAAGGUCAACUUGAAAGAAUAGAAGAAGAAAUGCACUAGAGAAAAUUUCCCAAAGAAUUGCCAGACAUGGAAUUUUAAAUUAUUGAUUUCAAUUUGAAAUAAUUUUAAUUUUAAC